rnacentral:rRNA from 1 species
GGAUCCAAUACAAGUGAGAAUGCCGGCGUGAGUAACGUUGGGAGUGAGAAUCUCCCAAACCGAUUGACUAAGGUUUCCUGGACCAGGGUCGUCCUUCCAGGGUUAGUCUGGACCUAAGCUGAGGCUGAAGAGCGUAGAGUGGACAACAGGUUAAUAUUCCUGUACUUACAGUUAGACUGAUGGAGUGACAAAGAAGGUUAUCCACCCCCAUUAUUGGAUUUGGGGAUAAACCAUAAGGUGGUACAAUAGGCAAAUCCGUUGUGCAUAACA